rnacentral:sRNA from 1 species
ACCUGUUGCGGGCGGCAAGAGCGGCGCCCGCAAUACCAGACAGACACCGUGCCACGGGAAGAUCGAGGCACUUCAGGGCGUU